rnacentral:rRNA from 1 species
UACGGGGGGGGCAAGCGUUGUUCGGAAUUACUGGGCGUAAAGGGCUCGUAGGCGGCCAACUAAGUCAGACGUGAAAUCCCUCGGCUUAACCGGGGAACUGCGUCUGAUACUGGAUGGCUUGAAUCCGGGAGAGGGAUGCGGAAUUCCAGGUGUAGCGGUGAAAUGCGUAGAUAUCUGGAGGAACACCGGUGGCGAAGGCGGGUCUCUGGGCCGGAACUGACGCUGAGGAGCGAAAGCGUGGGGAGCGAACAGG